rnacentral:rRNA from 1 species
GAUGAACGCUGGCGGCGUGCUUAAUACAUGCAAGUCGAACGGAGAGCUAGAAAUAGUUCUUAGUGGCGAACGGGUGAGUAACGCGUUGGUGACCUGCCCCGGAGAGGGGGAUAACAGUUCGAAAGGACUGCUAAUACCCCAUGAAGUCAUAGAGGCCAGAGGCUUUAUGACGAAAGGAGAAAUCCGCUUCGGGAGGGGCCUGCGUCCCAUCAGCUAGUUGGUAGGGUAAAGGCCUACCAAGGCAGAGACGGGUAGGGGACCUGAGAGGGUGAUCCCCCACACUGGCACUGAAACACGGGCCAGACACCUACGGGGGCUG